rnacentral:rRNA from 1 species
AGGAUGAACGCUGGCGGUCUGCUUAACACAUGCAAGUCGAACGGAGUACCUCGGUACUUAGUGGCGGACGGGUGAGUAACGCGUGAGAAUCUGCCCUUAGGUCGGGGACAACCAUUGGAAACGAUGGCUAAUACCGGAUAAGCCGAGAGGUAAAAGAUUAAUUGCCUAGGGAAGAGCUCGCGUCUGAUUAGCUAGUUGGUGAGGUAAAGGCUCACCAAGGCAUCGAUCAGUAGCUGGUCUGAGAGGAUGAUCAGCCACACUGGGACUGAGACACGGCCCAGACUCCUACGGGAGGCAGCAGUGGGGAAUUUUCCGCAAUGGGCGAAAGCCUGACGGAGCAAGACCGCGUGAGGGAGGAAGGCUCGUUGGGUUGUAAACCUCUUUUCUUGGGGAAGAACAAAUGACGGUACCAAGGAAUCAGCAUCGGCUAACUCCGUGCCAGCAGCCGC